AGAUUGAACGCUGGCGGCAUGCUUUACACAUGCAAGUCGAACGGUAACAGGCCGCAAGGUGCUGACGAGUGGCGAACGGGUGAGUAAUGCAUCGGAACGUGCCCAGUCGUGGGGGAUAACGCAGCGAAAGCUGUGCUAAUACCGCAUACGAUCUAUGGAUGAAAGCGGGGGACCGAAAGGCCUCGCGCGAUUGGGAGCGGCCGAUGUCAGAUUAGCUAGUUGGUGGGGUAAAGGCCCACCAAGGCGACGAUCUGUAGCUGGUCUGAGAGGACGACCCAGCCACACUGGAACUGAGACACGGUCC
rnacentral:rRNA from 1 species